rnacentral:rRNA from 1 species
AGAAUCAACGCUGGCGGCGUGCCUAACACAUGCAAGUCGAACGAGAAAGUGGAGCAAUCCAUGAGUAAAGUGGCGCACGGGUGAGUAACCACGUGACUAACCUACCCUCGAGUGGGGAAUAACCUCGGGAAACCGGGCUAACACCGCAUAACAUCUACGGAUCAAAUGCGUAAGCAGCUUGAGGAGGGGGUCGCGGCUGAUUAGCUAGUUGGCGGGGUAAUGGCCCACCAAGGCAGUGAUCAGUA